rnacentral:rRNA from 1 species
GACGAACGCUGGCGGCGUGCUUAACACAUGCAAGUCGAACGGUGAAGCGCCUUCCUUUUUGGUGGGUGUGGAUGAGUGGCGAACGGGUGAGUAACACGUGAGUAACCUGCCCCCUUCUUCUGGAUAACCGCAUGAAAGUGUGGCUAAUACGGGAUAUUCUGGGUCUGUCGCAUGAUGGGUCUGGGAAAGAUAUUGUUUCGGUGGGGGAUGGGCUCGCGGCCUAUCAGCUUGUUGGUGGGGUGAUGGCCUACCAAGGCGGUGACGGGUAGCCGGCCUGAGAGGGUGAACGGUCACACUGGGACUGAGACACGGCCCAGACUGCUACGGGAGGCAGCAGUGGGGAAUAUUGCACAAUGGGCGCAAGCCUGAUGCAGCGACGCCGCGGGAGGGAUGGAGGCCUUCGGGUUGUGAACCUCUUUCGCCAGUGAAGCAGGCCUGCCUCGUUUGUGGGUGGGUUGACGGUAGCUGGAUAAGAAGCGCCGGCUAACUACGUG